UGAGUUUGAUCCCUGGCUCAGGAUGAACGCUAGCGGCAGGCUUAACACAUGCAAGUCGAGGGGUAUAAGUCUUCGGAUNUAGAGACCGGCGCACGGGUGCGUAACGCGUAUGCAAUCUACCUUUUACAGAGGGAUAGCCCAGAGAAAUUUGGAUUAAUACCUCAUAGCAUAGCAGCUUCGCAUGAAGCCACUAUUAAAGUCACAACGGUAAAAGAUGAGCAUGCGUCCCAUUAGCUAGUUGGUAAGGUAACGGCUUACCAAGGCUACGAUGGGUAGGGGUCCUGAGAGGGAGAUCCCCCACACUGGUACUGAGACACGGACCAGACUCCUACGGGAGGCAGCAGUGAGGAAUAUUGGACAAUGGGCGCAAGCCUGAUCCAGCCAUGCCGCGUGCAGGAUGACGGUCCUAUGGAUUGUAAACUGCUUUUAUACGAGAAGAAACACUACUUCGUGAAGUAGCUUGACGGUAUCGUAAGAAUAAGGAUC
rnacentral:rRNA from 1 species